AAUGGGUCAGCGACUUAUAUUCUGUAGCAAGGUUAACCGUAUAGGGGAGCCGCAGGGAAACCGAGUCUUAACUGGGCGUUAAGUUGCAGGGUAUAGACCCGAAACCCGGUGAUCUAGCCAUGGGCAGGUUGAAGGUUGGGUAACACUAACUGGAGGACCGAACCGACUAAUGUUGAAAAAUUAGCGGAUGACUUGUGGCUGGGGGUGAAAGGCCAAUCAAACCGGGAGAUAGCUGGUUCUCCCCGAAAGCUAUUUAGGUAGCGCCUCGUGAACUCAUCUUCGGGGGUAGAGCACUGUUUCGGCUAGGGGGUCAUCCCGACUUACCAACCCGAUGCAAACUACGAAUACCGAAGAAUGUUAUCACGGGAGACACACGGCGGGUGCUAACGUCCGUCGUGAAGAGGGAAACAACCCAGACCGCCAGCUAAGGUCCCAAAGUCAUGGUUAAGUGGGAAACGAUGUGGGAAGGCACAGACAGCCAGGAUGUUGGCUUAGAAGCAGCCAUCAUUUAAAGAAAGCGUAAUAGCUCACUGGUCGAGUCGGCCUGCGCGGAAGAUGUAACGGGGCUAAACCAUGCACC
rnacentral:rRNA from 1 species